rnacentral:rRNA from 2 species
UGAUUGAUGGUGCUUGCACCUGAUUGACGAUGGAUCACCAGUGAGUGGCGGACGGGUGAGUAACACGUAGGUAACCUGCCCCGGAGCGGGGGAUAACAUUUGGAAACAGAUGCUAAUACCGCAUAACAACAAAAGCCACAUGGCUUUUGUUUGAAAGAUGGCUUUGGCUAUCACUCUGGGAUGGACCUGCGGUGCAUUAGCUAGUUGGUAAGGUAACGGCUUACCAAGGCGAUGAUGCAUAGCCGAGUUGAGAGACUGAUCGGCCACAAUGGAACUGAGACACGGUCCAUACUCCUACGGGAGGCAGCAGUAGGGAAUCUUCCACAAUGGGCGCAAGCCUGAUGGAGCAACACCGCGUGAGUGAAGAAGGGUUUCGGCUCGUAAAGCUCUGUUGUUGGAGAAGAACGUGCGUGAGAGUAACUGUUCACGCAGUGACGGUAUCCAACCAGAAAGUCACGGCUAACUACGUGCCAGCAGCCGCGGUAAUACGUAGGUGGCAAGCGUUAUCCGGAUUUAUUGGGCGUAAAGCGAGCGCAGGCGGUUGCUUAGGUCUGAUGUGAAAGCCUUCGGCUUAACCGAAGAAGUGCAUCGGAAACCGGGCGACUUGAGUGCAGAAGAGGACAGUGGAACUCCAUGUGUAGCGGUGGAAUGCGUAGAUAUAUGGAAGAACACCAGUGGCGAAGGCGGCUGUCUGGUCUGCAACUGACGCUGAGGCUCGAAAGCAUGGGUAGCGAACAGGAUUAGAUACCCUGGUAGUCCAUGCCGUAAACGAUGAGUGCUAGGUGUUGGAGGGUUUCCGCCCUUCAGUGCCGGAGCUAACGCAUUAAGCACUCCGCCUGGGGAGUACGACCGCAAGGUUGAAACUCAAAGGAAUUGACGGGGGCCCGCACAAGCGGUGGAGCAUGUGGUUUAAUUCGAAGCUACGCGAAGAACCUUACCAGGUCUUGACAUCUUGCGCUAACCUUAGAGAUAAGGCGUUCCCUUCGGGGACGCAAUGACAGGUGGUGCAUGGUCGUCGUCAGCUCGUGUCGUGAGAUGUUGGGUUAAGUCCCGCAACGAGCGCAACCCUUGUUACUAGUUGCCAGCAUUAAGUUGGGCACUCUAGUGAGACUGCCGGUGACAAACCGGAGGAAGGUGGGGACGACGUCAGAUCAUCAUGCCCCUUAUGACCUGGGCUACACACGUGCUACAAUGGACGGUACAACGAGUCGCAAGCUCGCGAGAGUAAGCUAAUCUCUUAAAGCCGUUCUCAGUUCGGACUGUAGGCUGCAACUCGCCUACACGAAGUCGGAAUCGCUAGUAAUCGCGGAUCAGCAUGCCGCGGUGAAUACGUUCCCGGGCCUUGUACACACCGCCCGUCACACCAUGGGAGUUUGUAACGCCCAAAGUCG